AUGUUUCGCUUGUGCUAGCCAAUCUCCCAAAUCUCGUAUUGCUUCACGGCUCCCCUUCCCUUUGAUCUCCGGGGAUCGGAAUCUGGGCCAGGCGGAAAUGUCGGUGUCGAGCGACACGGGAGGCGCGGGGAAGAAGCUCCCCAGGCGGCUCGGCGGCAUGGCCGAAGCCCUCGCCAUCGCCUCCGAUCUUGGCGUCCCUAUCCCUCCCGUCCAGUCCAGAAACAAUUCUCAGAAUUAUUGUUGAAGGCUGCUAGUGAUUAUGGAGCUCUGACAGCAGCAGUUGCUGAUUUCCAGUGGUGCCAGAAUUUCAAAGAAUCACCUAGAGUUUGGGGGGAAAUGCUGCAUCCUAUUCCUGCUGUCCUAGCAUCAUGUACCCGCUUCUUCGAAGCCAUGUCUGCUAUGAGGGAUUCAUUUGCAACCCUCCAACAGUUUCGUGUCAGUAACUCUUCCUUGCCGACAACACCUAGUGACUCUUCAUGAGGGGAUUCCAGUUAUGUUACGCCUCCCCAUUGGAGGGAAGGCAUGACAAGCUUGGAUGAUUCGAUGGUCGACAGUUGGAGGUAGCAAAAUGCAGAGGGCAUCCAGUGGAGGUGACACAUGAUAUUUUGGUCAAAGGAGGUUGUCUUGGCCAUCCUCAGUCAAGAUGGGUCUGUCAGUUGUGGCUUUACCAUUUUUGUGUUGGACUGAUUGAAGAUUCAAUGAAGAAAAGGUAGAACUUGUAAGAUCAGCAGACAAAUCAAGUAACCGAAGAAGAUGUCAAUUUUACAUGCUACAGAGUUAUUUUAUGGAAUGCAAAUGCUCUUACUUUUUUAUUAUAGUCGAAGCAUGUAAUGUAGUCAAUAUAGCUUUCAUAUGGGUUUCUCUCAAACUAACCAUAUUGGAAUUAUCCUUUGAGCAACUGUUUCUAUAGUAGCAAUAUAUUUUAGCCAUUUUCAUGCCACGUGGACGG